CAGGGCGACCAGGCGACAGCCCUAGGGCGUGAGAGGGUCAUGUCACGGUUCCUUGCGAGCAGGGACAUAGGACUGGUUUCCAGUGGGGAGAGCCGCGAUGGAGUUUAUUUUGAAGGCUGCUGCUACCUCCUCUGUGGGGUGUGGAUGGAGCGUGCACCCCGGGGCCUGCGGUGGGCGUGCAGGGGACAGGUGACCUGGCAGCGGCCUGCGCAGAACACUGAAGAAAUCAUCCAGGCAGGGACCCAGGAGUCCUGGCGACCAGAAAAUGUGGUGGGAACCGUGACAACUGGCCUCGGUGAGGACACUGGUGCUGCUCUGGUCCUGUCCUGUCUCUCCGUCUGCAUGGGGGAAGAAAAUAUGCACUCGCAUAGGCUCUGAAUGCACAAGCUGGCUACGUCUCACCUGGGAGGACUGAGAGCACCGGGCACCAAGGAGCAACCAACGUGGUGCCAAGUGGGCAAGAUAAGCUCACAGAGCCUCCAUGCUCUGGCCCAGGCCUGUCAAGGGUCACAGAGCAGAGAGGUCCAGCCUGGCUCCAGUCCUACCCUGGCCCAGGGCCGUGGUCCUUUGCUUCACAAGCCUCUUUGAGCCAGUAAUUAUUUAGGGAGCUUUAAAAAAAUAUUAGAGAAAAAUUCUUUCAAAGCACUUGAUUUCUAAUAACGCUAGCUCUGUAACUAUCCAAGUGGCUGCUGGGAACAGGGGGGGCAUUUCCUUCUUGGGCUGUCGGUUGAGGUGACCUGUAGUGGUGAUUACUGGUUUUUAAAACCACAAAUCUCAGAGUUGACUCUGGCAGGUUGAGUGUCGGCAGACACCUCUCCAUGCAGAUGAUAUGUCUCUUGCCCCACAUAAGAGGUCCCUCUGGGUAAGACCUAAGUUGAAGAAGUGACAGACGUCUAUAAAGUCCCCUUGGUGGAGGAAUUGGUUCAAAUAGACCAGGUUGGGGUUGGCCUCCUGCUAAUGGGGAGACCAGGCUGGGUAUUUUGGCUGGAAGUGGAUCUGUCAGAUUUCCUGGCUACCUAUGUACUUGGCAGCCCCGGAAAAACCCAAGUCCACGGGCCCUGAGCCACCGGGGGGUCUGCAGGAAGAUUCUCGCAUGCAGGAGCUGGUAGGCCUGGGUGGGGGAGGGUAGAAAAGCGAGAUGUGCAGCAGGACUGUGCCCUGAACGCGUUUCUGAGAGCUAGGAAAUAGUGCCCAGGUAGGAGCCCCCCUGCUCUGCAGAGUCACCGUUGAAGGUGCUGGGAAGAAAGCCCUAGAAGGAACAGGGGGAGAUCCAUGUCUUAGCACCAAGACCCCUCUGGCAGCUCCCGGGCCCUGGCAGCUUGCCCUCCCAUCUUGUGCCUGCCAGCUUGAUUCCUGCCCCUGUCACUUCCCCAUGCCUGUCCCUGUCACUCCAUGCAUGGAAGCCUCUCUCACAGGCUUCCCCAGCACCACCCCCAGGCUGCUCUUCUGACAGCCAGCUGCUUCCCCCAAAGCCCCCAGAGCUCUCCGGGUACUGUGAGCACUGUGUGGGGAGCACCCACCCACACACACACAGAUGCCUGGCCCGCUCUCACAGGGUCUCACUCAGGCUGUGUGGCCUGGAGUUUCCAUAAUGAUGGUAACAAGUUGGAGAUUCUAAGCCAAAACAAGACAACAAUGGGGAAGAAGAAUGUGCAGAAGGAGUCCCAAGGUGAACAGGGGUUAGGGGGUAGGGGUGGGGAGGGAAGGCAGGCCUGAGGUGCAUUUUUUUUUCUCUGAAAUGACUUUUAUACCCUUUCGUGGCUCCCCAUGCCUCCAGUACCCCACAUCUCUGCACUGCUUCCUCUUUGACCAAGUAAACAGUUUGACCACCCCUGAUCUUAUCAAUAGCCAGCUAUUCCACAUAAACACUGGACCCUACGCUACUUCUUAGUCAAGGACAUCCCUCCUGCAAUUGACCUCUGUCCACCUGCACCAUUAGUUGUUUCCUCUCUGGGGAUCAUUUUCAAGCAAGUAAAAUCAUGCCGGGAGAGUCGAUGUUGAAAAAUCAACUCUAUCGAGGUAUCAUUUGUACAUAAGAUGCACCCGCUGUUAGGUGUAAAGUUAGAGGAGUUUUGGCAAAUUUAGACACCCACGUAACCACCACUCACCACGGUCAAGUUCUAGAACGUUGCUAUCACCGCCCUCCCCCCCACCUCACUACCACAAAAGGUAUCCCAUUGCUGAGCAGUGUUCCCAUGUAUGGAUACAGCACAAUUUUUGUUCACACAUUGGCCUAUUUAUUGAUGUGCACUUGGGCUGUUUCCACUUUUUAGCUAUUCUGAAUAAAAAGUGCAGUGAACAUCCA
ensembl:lncRNA